CGAGCUAAAACAAUGGCAAUAGUUUUGUUGCUUCUCAUAUAACCCAAUAGCAAAAGUACAUACAUUAUCCGUUUUAUGGAAAAAUAAACAUUCUUUUUUUUUUUGGAGAAAAAACAUGCUUUCAGUUUUUAUUUUAAAUGAGGUUCUAAGCAGUAACUCCAAUGGGAACAUUCUUGAGUCUUGAUGUUCCAUAAAGGGUUUCUUCGAAACGGAUGAUCUCGUUCUUUGAACCAUAAGCAACUUGAGUUCUAUCGUCGAGGUUGACGAUGGUCUUGUCAAGCACAGAGUUGUGUCCAUCACUGCUGAACCCACCAGCAUUCUCAACGAGCAGGCCAAGAGGAGCCACUUCGAACAACAACCUCAACUUUGCCUUAGCCGUAGGCGAAGUCACGUUCGUGAAUAUUCCU